GGAGAGGUGGCUGAGUGGCCGAUAGCGCCGCCUUGCUAAGGCGGUAUGGGGGUAACACUCCAUCGCGGGUUCAAAUCCCGCCCUCUCCGCCA
rnacentral:tRNA from 1 species